rnacentral:ncRNA from 1 species
CUUGAACACAGCCACAGCCGUCGUGAGGCGGUGUCGGAAAGCCACGGGUCUCUACAGGAGAGAUAGCCGGGCCGCCUGC